GAUGAACGCUAGCUACAGGCUUAACACAUGCAAGUCGAGGGGCAGCAUGGUCUUAGCUUGCUAAGGCCGAUGGCGACCGGCGCACGGGUGAGUAACACGUAUCCAACCCGCCGUCUACUCUUGGACAGCCUUCUGAAAGGAAGAUUAAUACAAGAUGGCAUCAUGAGUCCGCAUGUUCACAUGAUUAAAGGUAUUCCGGUAGACGAUGGGGAUGCGUUCCAUUAGAUAGUAGGCGGGGUAACGGCCCACCUAGUCUUCGAUGGAUAGGGGUUCUGAGAGGAAGGUCCCCCACAUUGGAACUGAGACACGGUCCAAACUCCUACGGGAGGCAGCAGUGAGGAAUAUUGGUCAAUGGGCGAGAGCCUGAACCAGCCAAGUCGCGUGGAGGAAGACUGCCCUACGGGUUGUAAACUCCUUUUACCNGGGAAUAACGGGGCGCUACGCGUAGCGCUGUGCA
rnacentral:rRNA from 1 species